GGCUCUUGGGUUGUAAACCUCUUUUCUCAGGGAAUAAAAAAAUGAAGGUACCUGAGGAAUAAGCAUCGGCUAACUCCGUGCCAGCAGCCGCGGUAAUACGGAGGAUGCAAGCGUUAUCCGGAAUGAUUGGGCGUAAAGGGUCCGCAGGUGGCAUUGUAAGUCUGCUGUCAAAGAAUGAGGCUCAACCUCAUCAAGGCAGUGGAAACUACAAAGCUAGAGUACGUUCGGGGCAGAGGGAAUUCCUGGUGUAGCGGUGAAAUGCGUAGAGAUCAGGAAGAACACCGGUGGCGAAGGCGCUCUGCUAGGCCGUAACUGACACUGAGGGACGAAAGCUAGGGGAGCGAAUGGGAUUAGAUACCCCAGUAGUCCUAGCCGUAAACGAUGGAUACUAGGCGUUGCGAGUAUCGACCCUCGCAGUGCCGGAGCCAACGCGUUAAGUAUCCCGCCUGGGGAGUACGCACGCAAGUGUGAAACUCAAAGGAAUUGACGGGGGCCCGCACAAGCGGUGGAGUAUGUGGUUUAAUUCGAUGCAACGCGAAGAACCUUACCAAGACUUGACAUGUCGCGAAUCCCGGUGAAAGCUGGGAGUGCCUUAGGGAGCGCGAACACAGGUGGUGCAUGGCUGUCGUCAGCUCGUGUCGUGAGAUGUUGGGUUAAGUCCCGCAACGAGCGCAACCCUCGGUUUUAGUUGCCAGCAUUAAGUUGGGCACUCUAGAGAGACUGCCGGUGACAAACCGGAGGAAGGUGGGGAUGACGUCAAGUCAGCAUGCCCCUUACGUCUUGGGCUACACACGUACUACAAUGCUACGGACAGAGGGCAGCUAAACAGCGAUGUCAAGCAAAUCCCGUAAACCGUAGCUCAGUUCAGAUCGCAGGCUGCAACUCGCCUGCGUGAAGGAGGAAUCGCUAGUAAUUGCAGGUCAGCAUACUGCAGUGAAUUCGUUCCCGGGCCUUGUACACACCGCCCGUCACACCAUGGAAGCUGGCAACGCCCGAAGUCAUUACU
rnacentral:rRNA from 1 species